rnacentral:rRNA from 1 species
GAUGAACGCUGGCGGCGUGCCUAAUACAUGCAAGUCGAGCGAACGGACGAGAAGCUUGCUUCUCUGAUGUUAGCGGCGGACGGGUGAGUAACACGUGGAUAACCUACCUAUAAGACUGGGAUAACUUCGGGAAACCGGAGCUAAUACCGGAUAAUAUUUUGAACCGCAUGGUUCAAAAGUGAAAGACGGUCUUGCUGUCACUUAUAGAUGGAUCCGCGCUGCAUUAGCUAGUUGGUAAGGUAACGGCUUACCAAGGCAACGAUGCAUAGCCGACCUGAGAGGGUGAUCGGCCACACUGGAAGUGAGACACGGUCCAGACUCCUACGGGAGGCAGCAGUAGGGAAUCUUCCGCAAUGGACGAAAGCCUGACGGAGCAACGCCGCGUGAGUGAUGAAGGUCUUCGGAUCGUAAAACUCUGUUAUUAGGGAAGAACAUAUGUGUAAGUAGCUGUGCACAUCUUGACGGUACCUAAUCAGAAAGCCACGGCUAACUACGUG